UUUCCGUAGGUGAACCUGCGGAAGGAUCACUAGUGAUUAAAUCGAGCGUGUCUUCAUUGACCGCUCACCCUUCUCACCAUCCACAUACACCUGUGCACUGUUUAGCCUGGGCCGGUUUUCCGGUCCAGGUUAUCAUUUCAUACAAACUCUAGUCUUAUGAAUGUAAACGUUUUAAUAACAUAAUAAAACUUUCAACAACGGAUCUCUUGGUUCUC
rnacentral:misc_RNA from 1 species